rnacentral:rRNA from 1 species
UUACGCUGUUAUCCCUAAGGUAAUUUAAUCUUAUAAUCAAUAAAAUUGGAUCAACUUAUCAUAAAUAAAUGUAAAAAAUAAAAAAGAGUUAAUUAAUUCUUCCUAUCACCCCAACAAAACAUAUUAAAUAAUUAACAACAAAUAAACUCAAACAAAAUAAUUAAAUAAAUUGUAUAAACUCUAUAGGGUCUUCUCGUCCCAUAAAUAAAUUUAAGCUUUUUAACUUAAAAAUUAAAUUCAAACAUAAAUAUUAAGAAACAGUAUAUUCCUCGUCCAACCAUUCAUUCCAGUCCACAAUUAAAGGACUAAUGAUUAUGCUACCUUUGCACGGUCAAAAUACCGCGGCCCUUCAAAUUAAUCAGUGGGCAGGUCAUACUUCACAUUUAUUACACAGAAGAGAGAUGUUUUUGUUAAACAGGCG